rnacentral:rRNA from 1 species
UUAAGCGACUAAGCGUACACGGUGGAUGCCCUGGCAGUCAGAGGCGAUGAAGGACGUGCUAAUCUGCGAAAAGCGUCGGUAAGGUGAUAUGAACCGUUAUAACCGGCGAUGUCCGAAUGGGGAAACCCAGUGCAAUUCGUUGCACUAUCGUUAACUGAAUACAUAGGUUAACGAGGCGAACCGGGGGAACUGAAACAUCUAAGUACCCCGAGGAAAAGAAAUCAACCGAGAUUCCCCCAGUAGCGGCGAGCGAACGGGGAGCAGCCCAGAGUCUGAAUCAGCUUGUGUGUUAGUGGAACGGUCUGGAAAGUCCGACGGUACAGGGUGAUAGUCCCGUACACCAAAAUGCACAGGCUGUGAACUCGAAGAGUAGGGCGGGACACGUGGUAUCCUGUCUGAAUAUGGGGGGACCAUCCUCCAAGGCUAAAUACUCCUGACUGACCGAUAGUAAACCAGUACCGUGAGGGAAAGGCGAAAAGAACCCCGGCGAGGGGAGUGAAAAAGAACCUGAAACCGUGUACGUACAAGCAGUGGGAGCACCUUCGGGUGUGACUGCGUACCUUUUGUAUAAUGGGUCAGCGACUUAUAUUCUGUAGCAAGGUUAACCGUAUAGGGGAGCCGCAGGGAAACCGAGUCUUAACUGGGCGUUAAGUUGCAGGGUAUAGACCCGAAACCCGGUGAUCUAGCCAUGGGCAGGUUGAAGGUUGGGUAACACUAACUGGAGGACCGAACCGACUAAUGUUGAAAAAUUAGCGGAUGACUUGUGGCUGGGGGUGAAAGGCCAAUCAAACCGGGAGAUAGCUGGUUCUCCCCGAAAGCUAUUUAGGUAGCGCCUCGUGAAUUCAUCUUCGGGGGUAGAGCACUGUUUCGGCUAGGGGGUCAUCCCGACUUACCAACCCGAUGCAAACUACGAAUACCGAAGAAUGUUAUCACGGGAGACACACGGCGGGUGCUAACGUCCGUCGUGAAGAGGGAAACAACCCAGACCGCCAGCUAAGGUCCCAAAGUCAUGGUUAAGUGGGAAACGAUGUGGGAAGGCACAGACAGCCAGGAUGUUGGCUUAGAAGCAGCCAUCAUUUAAAGAAAGCGUAAUAGCUCACUGGUCGAGUCGGCCUGCGCGGAAGAUGUAACGGGGCUAAACCAUGCACCGAAGCUGCGGCAGCGACACUAUGUGUUGUUGGGUAGGGGAGCGUUCUGUAAGCCUGCGAAGGUGACCUGUGAGGGUUGCUGGAGGUAUCAGAAGUGCGAAUGCUGACAUAAGUAACGAUAAAGCGGGUGAAAAGCCCGCUCGCCGGAAGACCAAGGGUUCCUGUCCAACGUUAAUCGGGGCAGGGUGAGUCGACCCCUAAGGCGAGGCCGAAAGGCGUAGUCGAUGGGAAACAGGUUAAUAUUCCUGUACUUGGUGUUACUGCGAAGGGGGGACGGAGAAGGCUAUGUUAGCCGGGCGACGGUUGUCCCGGUUUAAGCAUGUAGGCUGGUUGUCCAGGCAAAUCCGGAUAAUCAAGGCUGAGGUGUGAUGACGAGGUACUACGGUGCUGAAGUAACAAAUGCCCUGCUUCCAGGAAAAGCCUCUAAGCAUCAGGUAACAUUAAAUCGUACCCCAAACCGACACAGGUGGUCAGGUAGAGAAUACCAAGGCGCUUGAGAGAACUCGGGUGAAGGAACUAGGCAAAAUGGUGCCGUAACUUCGGGAGAAGGCACGCUGGUGUGUAGGUGAAGUCCCUGCGGAUGGAGCUGAGACCAGUCGAAGAUACCAGCUGGCUGCAACUGUUUAUUAAAAACACAGCACUGUGCAAACACGAAAGUGGACGUAUACGGUGUGACGCCUGCCCGGUGCCGGAAGGUUAAUUGAUGGGGUUAUCCGUAAGGAGAAGCUCUUGAUCGAAGCCCCGGUAAACGGCGGCCGUAACUAUAACGGUCCUAAGGUAGCGAAAUUCCUUGUCGGGUAAGUUCCGACCUGCACGAAUGGCGUAAUGAUGGCCAGGCUGUCUCCACCCGAGACUCAGUGAAAUUGAACUCGCUGUGAAGAUGCAGUGUACCCGCGGCAAGACGGAAAGACCCCGUGAACCUUUACUAUAGCUUGACACUGAACAUUGAGCCUUGAUGUGUAGGAUAGGUGGGAGGCUUUGAAGCGUGGACGCCAGUCUGCGUGGAGCCAACCUUGAAAUACCACCCUUUAAUGUUUGAUGUUCUAACGUUGGCCCCUGACCGGGGUUGCGGACAGUGUCUGGUGGGUAGUUUGACUGGGGCGGUCUCCUCCCAAAGCGUAACGGAGGAGCACGAAGGUUAGCUAAUCCUGGUCGGACAUCAGGAGGUUAGUGCAAUGGCAUAAGCUAGCUUGACUGCGAGCGUGACGGCGCGAGCAGGUGCGAAAGCAGGUCAUAGUGAUCCGGUGGUUCUGAAUGGAAGGGCCAUCGCUCAACGGAUAAAAGGUACUCCGGGGAUAACAGGCUGAUACCGCCCAAGAGUUCAUAUCGACGGCGGUGUUUGGCACCUCGAUGUCGGCUCAUCACAUCCUGGGGCUGAAGUAGGUCCCAAGGGUAUGGCUGUUCGCCAUUUAAAGUGGUACGCGAGCUGGGUUUAGAACGUCGUGAGACAGUUCGGUCCCUAUCUGCCGUGGGCGCUGGAGAAUUGAGGGGGGCUGCUCCUAGUACGAGAGGACCGGAGUGGACGCAUCACUGGUGUUCGGGUUGUCAUGCCAAUGGCACUGCCCGGUAGCUAAAUGCGGAAGAGAUAAGUGCUGAAAGCAUCUAAGCACGAAACUUGCCCCGAGAUGAGUUCUCCCUGAGACUUUAAGUCUCCUGAAGGAACGUUGAAGACGACGACGUUGAUAGGCCGGGUGUGUAAGCGCAGCGAUGCGUUGAGCUAACCGGUACUAAUGAACCGUGAGGCUUAACCUU